rnacentral:pre_miRNA from 1 species
UACUAAAUUUUUUUUAUCUAUUUUUACUGUUGAAAACUAGCAUGAUUGACAGAAUAAUUAAAUAGUGACAUGUGGCAUGCCACGUGUACCUCAUGCUGGUGUACAAGGAUCAUUUUUUAACAGUAAAAGUACAUAAAAUUUUUAACA